GCGGGUCCUGAGGCGCGGGCGGGGCGCCAGGCGGCCCGGACGCGGGCGCACGGGGCGGGGCCUGCACGGGGGCGGACGCAGAGCGCGACUGACGUACAACCCGACCAAUGGGUGUGCCCCGGUGCCGCUCGCCCCGCCCCUGUCGGCCAGACAAUGGGGGAAGACUGGGCCCCCGGGCUCGGCCGGGCUCGCGAAGGUGCUCCCGCCGAGCAUGCGCCGCGGCGCGGGUCCUGCCGGGAUUGUAGUCCGCGAGCCAGGCUUCCUGCGUGGGCGGCUGGGGACAAGCUUUGGAGGGGGCUGACGGGUGUUCCCGAACUUGGAGGAGGCCUUUCCUUCCUCCAGGGAGGAGCGGCGUGCCUAUUCAGGGUCCAUCGUAAAAGGCUACGCGUAGCAGCACGGGAUUCACGGGCCAUCCAGCUAAAGAGAGGGGCAGAGCCUCUUUGAGAACAGGCCAGGGAUUACUGCUGACGCCAAGGACACUAAAGCCCGUGGCCAGGCUCAUUGGUGGAUGCAGAGAACCCAGGCUCAGGGGAGCCCAGGCAAGGCCAUGGACACAGGACUUUCAGUGAUAUUGGCCGCCACCAUCCUACUCUGGGAGCACUGGAAGGGAGAGCAUAUCCCUCCUUGAAAUCUCCCAGCCUCGGGUCAACCUCAGGCCAGGGAAUGACUGCUCCCUUCUUGGCAUUUCCUGGGUGAGGUGGCCUCGCCCUCCUUCUCCGCCCUCCCCCUCCUCCCUCCUCUCCUCCUCCUCCUCUGGCACUCCAGGGCCCUAGCCCAGCUCGAGGUAAGACUCAGGUCUGGCUUCAAAUCCCAAGACAUCUCCUUGCUAGCUGGAUGACCUCAAGUAAGCCACUUGUCCACCUUGGGCUUAUUUCCUCAUCUAUAAUAUGUACAAAGGACUAAAUGAGAUGAUUCAAAACAGGAGUUGAGCAUGGGGCAUGUUCCUUGAGAGCCAGCCGGCUUUAGGACUCUCUUUAGGACCUGCUGGCUGCUUCACCAUUCUUCAAACGUGCCAGACAUGUCCUACCUCAGGACCUUUGCACUCACUGAUUCCGUGCCUGGAACGCUUUUACUCUAGCACUUAGCCAAAUCCCUCACAACCUUUUGGUUUUAACUUAAAUGAUACUUGCUCAAAUAAACCUAUUUCCCUCACUCCUGAUGCCCUUUCC
rnacentral:lncRNA from 1 species